GGAGUCGCGCUCGCGCUCGCGCUCCACCAACGCGGCGGCGUCCCGGCGCGAGCGGGAGCGCGCCUCGUCC
ensembl:miRNA